CGUGUAGGCGGCUAAUUAAGUCAGGCGUGAAAUCUAUGGGCUUAACCCAUAAAUUGCGUUUGAAACUGGAUGGCUUGAGGAUCGGAGAGGGCAGUGGAAUUCCCAGUGUAGCGGUGAAAUGCGUAGAUAUUGGGAGGAACACCAGUGGCGAAGGCGACUGCCUGGACGACACCUGACGCUGAGGCGCGAAAGCUAGGGGAGCAAACGGGAUUAGAUACCCCGGUAGUCCUAGCCGUAAACGAUGGGUACUAGGUGUGGGAGGUAUCGACCCCUUCCGUGCCGCAGUUAACACAAUAAGUACCCCGCCUGGGGAGUACGGCCGCAAGGUUGAA
rnacentral:rRNA from 1 species